CAGGCAUGGUGGCUCACGCCUGUAAUCUCAGCACUUUAGGAGGCUGAGACAGGUGGAUCAUUUUAAGUCAGGAGUUUGAGACCAGCCCGGUCAACAUGGCGAAACCCUUUCUCUACUAAGGAGGCAGAGGUUGCAGUGAGCUGAGAUCACGCCACUGCCCUCCAGCCUGGGCAACAGAGUGAGACUCUGUCUCAAAAACAAACAAAGAAACAAACAAACAACAACAAAAAAAAAACAAAAAAAGAAAGUAUUUUUAUUGACGUUAAAUAUAUACCUGCCCUACAAUUCAGCAAUUCUACUUCUAGGUAUUUAUCUAAGAGGAAUGAAGGGAUGUGUCUACAGAAAGACUUUUAUAAAAUAUUUAUAGUAACUUCUUUCUUUUAUUAAGCCCCUUCCAUUCUAGUACAUAGUAGCUUUAUUAAUAAUAACCAACUCAAUAAUUCAAACAUCCAUCAUUGGGAGAACAGACAAGUAGCUUAUGAUAUAGUCAUACUAUAGAAACCAUUCAAAAAUAAAAAAUAAUGAACUAUUGAUACAGGCAAUAUUGAUAAAUCUCAAAAAUGUUAUGUUGAACAAAAUAAGCUAAACACGAAAUAGUGCAUACACUUUGCUUUCAUUUAUAUGAAGUUCACAAAAAGACAAAAGUUAUAUCCAGAGAUAGAAAGCAGACAGUGGUUUCUUGUGGUAGGUGGGUAUUGACCAGAAGGCAGAAGUGAUGAAAACGUUUUUGCAGCUGUACACAUUUGUCAAAACUCAUCAAAUUGUAUGCCGCAGAUCUAUGCAUUUCUUUAUAAGUAAUUUUAGCUCAACAAAAUGAGCGAGAAGCAUAUUUAGCUACUCUUUUGUAAUUAUUCAUUAGCACAAAUAACCAGGAUUGACCUCAGAUGUUUUUGGAAUCUGAGAUGUCAAUCACAAGCCAAGAACAUUUCUAAACACAUCAAUUUGAAAAGAAGGAAACAAAUUGUCUUGGAAGCUAUUUUGUGCCCUUAGAAACUCUUGAAUUCCAUGAGAGUGCGUUUUUCUAGAUGAGGUCAUGGGCAUUUUCAGAGUCAUCAUAAAUUAGCCCGAGUGUCUGAAGAGGUCAUGCGGGGACAAGGGGAAGUUCCAGAACUUCUUAUUCUCACAGACUUUCCUUUCAUAAAGAAUCUUUCCUGGAAUUUAGGAUCUUGACACCUCCAGGUCUGUAGCUCAGUAACCACUAAAGAGCUUGGCUAUAAUCCUUUUCCCUGAAAGGCCUUGUCAGGAAGUGCCAAACAUCACCUGAAGGCAGCAGGAGGUAGAAGAGUGUGUGGAAAGGUACGCUGGAGGGUUGCUCUUUUUCAAUCUAAUAGGAAUAAAUUUGGGAUUUUUUUUUUAGCCCUUCUCAGUGUAGUGUUAUAAAAGCAGCAACAGAACAACAUCCAAAAAAAGAAUAAAAAAUAAUUUGUCUAAAAGUCUUGCACAGUAAUAACAGGAGGAUUCCACUUAUAUGACUCCAAAAUGUUGAAAUCAUCUUUCCCUAUAUUAUCAUUCUUUUAUUUUUUAAGACAGCAUACAACUGUCCUCAUUCUCUAGUUUUACUCACUAACAAUGCCAAAAAUUACUUCUCAAAAUUCAGCUAACAAGGGCUUUUCUCUGCCUUUACACUUCCUCCUGUCUUUCCAGACCCACUUCCUGCUUCUCCCAAUGGGUCUUCUCAACAUAAAUCAUUCUCUCCCGGAAUAUUUUCCAAUUCCUAGCUCUACGCACUCCCCCAGCUCACACCAAGGGACCUGGGAGCUUGGGAGGCAGACAGAAUUUUCCUUAGAAGAGGGGAAGGGGAAUAUUUUUCUCCCUGUAAUUUUAAAGUAUUGGCACGAUUCUGGAUGUAGACAUCACCUUCUUUUCUGAGAUUAUUUGAAGUGUCUGGUGCCUAUGGACUGUGGGAAAAUUUGAGAUGAUCAAUUCGGGAGUUGGAGGUGGGGGUGUAGGGUGGUAAACACUCAAGGCUUAGAAAUUGGGGCUCCCCACCCUGCACUAGGGUCUCACACAAAGGGGUUGGCACAGGGCUGAGAAGCAGUGGGGCUCCUGUCCACCCUGCCCAGCACCUACUCCCACCAGGCAACUGAGUGGUAUUUAGUCUGCAAGACUAGCCCAGAAACUUGAAUGGGACCCUGAGAGAGCCAGGGGUUCCUUGGGCCCCCGCUAGGGGACUUUCUGUUUGCCCUGGGUCUCCCUGUGUGGGCAGGGAUGGAGAGUGAGGGCCUGCCUUCAUGGCAGUAGGCUCUGAGUGGGUGACUGGCGCCAGGCCAAGUUCUAGGUGGGCUUCCCAAAGCCACAUUCAGGCAGGACGGAGCUGCUCUUGCACACGGUUUCGUGGGCUGGAUUUUCUCUGUUGCACACAUGCUUAGUAUCUGUCUCUCCCUUUGUUCCUGAGUGGUGGGCCGCACAUGAGGCUCUGAGCAGGCUAUAUCUCUAUUCUGGCAAUAAAAGUACUCUGGACACUGUUAAGGUGAGAAAAGAAAAGAAAUCGGGGCUCCCAGGAGGAGAAUCCUGAACCACGGGCUCUGCGGUGAUGUGGCCUUCCUCUUUAGUUUUUGUGCCUUUUAUGUGGGCAGAGGGAAAAAGAGACAGCCAGCAGUGAUCAUUAAUCCUGAAAAUGCCGAGGGCUUUGGCCUGGGACCCACACCAAGACAGAGUCAAACCGAGUUCUUCUAGUGUUGAGCGUGUUUCACAUCUUCCGUUGGAGUUUGCUGUGGAUGCUCAUUAGACAGACAUGGGCAGAAUCCCACUUGUUCCUCGUCCUUUUCCACCUCACCUCCAUCAUUGUGGCUGAAAUACACGAUCAUGGGUGUAUCUUUCCUUGUGGAUUUGUUGCCUCUAGGAGUUCUGUAUGCAGCUGAAGGGUAACAUCCCUUGGGAGCUUUUGCCUUGUCUGGCUGACGCCUUGGCAAUCGCAAGUGACAGUGACGGAGAGCCACCUCCUCUGGAAUGCAUCAUGGAACAGAAAGGGAAAAGCCAGGCAUUUGUAGUCCUCCUGCCACAGAUGACCAGAAUGACCUCACCCAGGACAAACGGCGACAGAUUUAGGAAUUCAAGCCAGCUUUUCUGACUCCCAGGCACCUGCUCUCUCCUUUCGAGUGUUCGACUCCACUCUCAGUCACUCGUCACUCUUCCCAGAAGGACAAAUGUGCAGCUUCUAUGUCUUGGAUUUCAAAUAAAAGACGAGGAACUUGGUGAAAUGAGGUGGUCUUUGCCUUCCGCGUCACUCUCUGCUCCUCCUGGCAAGAGGCCCCAUUUUUCUUGCCACUGAGGUUAAGUGAAAACAAAACAAAACAAACAAACAAAAAAGAGGCCCCAUUCACAGUAAAGAUAAACAGCAGCCUGGGCAGGCCAGCGGCUCUUCCCUGACGUGGAAUUAUGAGCCCUCUUUCUUCGAUUUUGCCACAUACCCGCAGCUGCACUCCCAUAAUCUGAAAGCUGUCCCUUUAAUUUUUACCACUUCAUUAUUAGAAUUGGAGUAGAAUGAAAAUUAAUUUUUCCCUGAGCUAUUUUUGUGUCCCUUGAGUUAACCAGAAAUACCAACCCUGGAAAGAGAUGUGGGGGACAGUCAUUUUAGAGAGCGGACACCACUGCUGAAGAAGAAGGAUAUCCCGGUUGGCUGCUCUAGAGCCGGCAGGACGGAUGCUGAGGUUGUUCGCAGCAGCGUGUGUGCAGAGCCCCCGGGAUCUUGCAGACUGGGAUUUGUCAGGGCAGGUGUGGACAUUGAGGCUAUUUCUAACAAGCUCCUACAUGAUGCUGGGGCUGCAGAGCCCCAGGCCGCACUUGGAGUAUGAGAGUUUCCAGGGAGUGAAGCCCCGGCUGCUCUCUCUGCCCCCUCUCCAUCUGCCCCCUGGGUGAGGACAGGACUCCCAUCCCUCCAGUGCACAGUGAGUGCUGCUCAAUCUGCAUCCACAGCGGUUUGUGCCCAGAUGCUUCCUCACUCAGCGUCUAACAGGGUGCAGUGGAAACGUCAUUGACUGGAGGAAAGGUGUGUGGGUGAGAAACGUUUGUCGGUUGAGUAACUUUUUGUCGUUAUUUUUUUUCUCUGAUGUUCAAAGUAAGAGAAAACUCAUCUGGCCCCUGGAGCCCAUGUGAGCAACAUGAAAGAUAAAGGGAAAAGGGGGCUGAUAAAGAUGUGGACCGAGUCUGAGAUAAGAUUCUUUGCCCCUUGGGUGAAUCCAGGUGAAGUUGUUUUACUCUUAGCCCAGCCAGCCCUGGAUAAAGGCUUCAUCCCUCUUCUCUUUCCUGUCCAUAUAUCAGAACUUUAAGCUCUACUUGUACCCAGUGAAGAUUAGAAUAACGCACGGAGCACAGGAAAUGUCUAGGUGAUGAUUUCACUGAGCUUUACAAGGGACACAGGUACGCAUCAAGAGCUUGGGCCACUGGGUAAAGAGGGAUCUGGUUCUUGCUCUAACGCGGUUCAUCUUCUGUGUCAGAAUCAGAUAGAUUCUGGGUGUCAGAGACCCGAAUCUUCCUCUUGUUCCGCUCACUGCCCCCCUGUGGCCCCUUCUCAUUUCAAAUGCUCUGUCUGUAAUAUGAAAUGAAAAGAAUUCCUCCCAGACCCCUAGCCAAAUUUCACCUUAAGCUCGUUGACUCCCAGAGGAAAUCUCUGUGGGAGACUGGAAAGAGGACGCUGGAGCCAGAGGCUAUCUUUGAUAGUGAGGUGAGGUUUACUGUUUAAUAAGAACUCCAAAGAUAUGCCUAAUAUUGAAGGUUGUCUCUCGCUUCCUUGGGAAACCCAAACCAGAAGUUUAGGCCGUAUAGAAAGUAAGUGGUUUGGGUGCAAAAGGGAUGUAGAACAUCCCUUUUAAUGGUAUCAUAGAAUAUGAGAACUAGAAGAGAGCUCAAAGAUCAUUUAGGCCAACCUCUACAUUUUAUAGAUAAGAACACUGGGCCUGUGGUCAUUCCACAAGUUUGUGGCAAGCCUUGGAUUACAACAGAUCACCAGGUUCCCUGACUCCUAGUUCAGUGCUUUUCCAACACCCAGAAUCAUAAUCUUCAGGAAGGAGCGUGCUUUUCACCUAUCUGUUGAAGGUUAUCUCUUACAAAGAGGUGGAGCUAUGUCUAAACUAUCUGGGUGCUGGGAGGUGUUUGUGUGAUGUUGUGGUUUAGUUCAGAUUAUUAUCUUUGAAGAAGUCAGAGGGCCCAGGCCCUCCAUUUGGGGUUAUCUAUAUAAUAAUAACUAUGAUGUCUGAGCCCUGCCUAUGUGCUGCUUCUUUGCAUAUAUUACCUUCAAUGCUCACCAUGGCUCUGGAAGGUAGAUACUGUCAUCCCCACUUUAGAAAGCAAGAGAUUGAGGUUCAGAGAGAUUAAGUAAGUUGGCUAAACCACACAGCUCAAGGUGGUGGGACAGGAGUCACGUGAAAGUCUACUAUUGCUGCCCUCAUGUCAGCCUUCUAAAAAAUCUCACUUUUACUUUCAGGAAAUUCUUUCAAAUAGCAAACAUAAAUGCGCACAAAGAAGCAAGGAGGAAGAGGAGGGAACUGUGUAGAAAAGAUGCUCCGUCUGUAACACGAAAUGAAAAGAAUUCCUCCCAAUCAUGUAACCAUAGGAGCUUCUCAUACACCCCAAGCCAUUUCCUUUUACCAUGCUGAUAUGUCCUUUUAGGCCUCUUGACAUAGUACCCCUUGCUGGGAAUCCUGCCCCUGCCCAUGAGCCAGGCAACAGAAUGAAGGCUGCUCUUAACUAUAAGGUGCCUGAAAGGUGGGUGGGAGUUCAACUGGAAGGUUAGGCACGUCAGGCCAUUCUGGCAGAGAAUGUGUAAAAGUGUAAAACAGCAUCAUCAUAUGGAAGAUACAAGAGACUACAGGUAGAAUGUUUUGCUGAAGCAUGAAUCGUGAGGGUAUGAAGGAUGGAAAUAUGAGGAUCAGUUGAAAUAACAUAAGUGACAUUGAAAUCUGUAAAAUGCUCCACAAAUUUUGAUUGUUGCUACAAUGACCUCUUGAGCGGUGUUGUUUUUAGAACCCAAUGAUAAAAUAUAUAGUUACUUUCUAAGCUGAAAAACAAUAAUUAAAGCGUUCAUUGCUUAAAGCUUGAUUGUGUCACAACGAGGAAAUAGAGUUUCUUUUGAAUUCAUAUUCUAAGAACUAUUUAUGAGAAUGCUGUAUUCGGUUGUUUCCUGUCACCUGUAUUCACAUUAAUAGAUUAUAACGGAUUUCAAUCUACUGAAGCAUAGUCAAUUCUCUGAUUGCUGCCAACCAAAUCACCAUGGUUGAAUUUGAAUAUUUCCAGUCAUUUUUGAUGGUUGUUGCCUGCCCACAUUACCUGUUAUUUAUUUAAACUACCUUAUAUACGAAUACACUUUUAUAUAUAAUUUAGAAUUUUUUCUUAGCCAUCAUUAAAUCACACCUAAAUUUGCAAUACAUGGUAUUGUCUUAGUUGUUCACUUUGCCUUUUGUCUCUCUUUUCCUAAACCUACCUUUUCUUCCCCAAAGACACUCAAGGACUUAAUGGCAUCUUUGGGUUUUUCUCACUCCAAUUGACUUUAAAAGAACCCUCGUUAUUAGUGAUCUGAUAAAACUGGUAACAUAGAUAAGGCAUACAAUUGUUGGAAAAAGAGAAGAUAAAAAUAAUCAUUCUAUGUGAGGAAUUUAAUUAAGUACUUAGAAAACCCAAGACGGUUAAAGUAUUAGAACUAUUAAGAGUUUCAUAAGGUG
rnacentral:lncRNA from 10 species